rnacentral:rRNA from 1 species
GAUGAACGCUGGUGGCGUGCCUAAUACAUGCAAGUCGAGCGAAUGGAUUGAGAGCUUGCUCUCGAGAAGUUAGCGGCGGACGGGUGAGUAACACGUGGGUAACCUGCCCAUAAGACUGGGAUAACUCCGGGAAACCGGGGCUAAUACCGGAUAACAUUUUGAACCGCAUGGUUCGAAAUUGAAAGGCGGCUUCGGCUGUCACUUAUGGAUGGACCCGCGUCGCAUUAGCUAGUUGGUGAGGUAACGGCUCACCAAGGCAACGAUGCGUAGCCGACCUGAGAGGGUGAUCGGCCACACUGGGACUGAGACACGGCCCAGACUCCUACGGGAGGCAGCAGUAGGGAAUCUUCCGCAAUGGACGAAAGUCUGACGGAGCAACGCCGCGUGAGUGAUGAAGGCUUUCGGGUCGUAAAACUCUGUUGUUAGGGAAGAACAAGUAUCGGAGUAACUGCCGGUACCUUGACGGUACCUGACCAGAAAGCCACGGCUAACUACGUGCCAGCAGCCGCGGUAACAC